rnacentral:lncRNA from 1 species
UGUUAGCAAUCACAGCGUCAUGUCUGCAACUGUUGAUACCAUGGACAAAGAUGAUUUUAUACUUUGCUUCGUCUUUUGGAACACAAUGCUCUUUGUAUGCCAAAUGUCUUCCAUCUCUUAGUUUGAUUCUUGGCGCCGUUAUAGGUGGUCCAUCAGGAGUGCCACAUAUCUUUGGAGGCGGAGGUUGAGCAGCUUGAUAAGCCCAUGCUAGAAAUCCAAUAAACAACACUGCCAGUGUUGUUCUAAGUAUUCCUGAGAAUUUGUAAUGUAAUGCCAAAUUAAAAGACAAAUAAAUAAAAUUUAAAACAUAAACUAUGGUUUAUAGUCCAUAAGUCAAUAUCAAAAUACAACGUAAAAACUAGCUUAUGCUGAACACAGGUAAACUUUGGGGUCUUAACCCUCUGAUUCCGAGAGGAAAGAGUCAGUAUAGUAAUCUAGAGUUUGACCAUAAGUUAAGUAAAAUCUGACUAAUAAUUGUUUCAACCAUUAAUCAAACCCAGGUUUCUCCUGAUCGAUUCAACCUUAACUUGUUUUUUAUAAGCGAUUCGACCUUAACUUCUACACAGGUGAAACUAUGAGGUCUUAACCCUUUGAUUGCUAUGGGAAAAGACCCUAGUAAUCUAGAGUUUGAGUGUUUGACCAGUAGGUAAGUAAAGUCUAGCAAAUGAUUGUUUCAGCCAGCAAUUAAAUUUAGGUUCUCCUGACUUCAAUUUUUUUUUAUUACCAUGCUAAAGAAAAAACUAACGGAAAAGGAAAAAAACUACACUCUCCAGAACCAAGUUUUAGUAGAAUCUGCGAAGAGGAGCUCCCUCAGGCCAUGCCGGGGGUGUACCAAGCAAUCUAAGUCAGAAGAGGCUCCAAUUUUAGCAAGUAUUUCCUUCCGGGAGGGUGUGGUUAAAUAUGCACUUUUCAAUUAAGCUGAAGGAGAUCUUUUAUGUCUUGAAUCAGAGUAACAUAGUUAUGAAAUUUUGGAGUUGAGCAUGAAUGGUAUGAGACAUAGGAGAGAGUUUCUAUAACAGGCAGGGACGGACCUAGGAAGGUCACUAUGUAGGCCUAUGCCCCCACUUUGAUGUGAAUUUUUUUAUACUACUAUACAUAUAUUAUAUUAUAUAACAAAUAAAUUAGUUGAUAAAUUUCAUAGUAGUCCACACUCACGCCCACACACAAUCAGUUCAAAACUUACUUAGUUGCCCACGCCAAAAAUUUAUGGGAGAUAACCGGUUAAAUAAUUGUUUAGUUACUUAUAUUGAGAGAUAUUUUUCUUGAUGUUGAAAAAGAGAAAAUUAUUCAAUUUUAUCAAAAUAUGGAACGUAAAGCCACUAGGGUUGGUCUAGUGGUGAGAGGUUUGGGUAGUACGUUAUAGGUCCUGGGUUCGAUCUCUAGCUCAUUGUAAACAAAAAAAAAAAUGGAACGUCCUAGAGAACAAUUAUAAUGUAUUUUUUAUGCUUUUGAAAAUGAAAUGUUAUAUUUAUUUAAUGAUGCAAUUUUAUAAUAACCCCACUACUCAAAAUUUCUGGUUCCGUCCCUGAUAACAGGUAAUGUGUAUUGAAUUAUUUAAGUUUUGUUCUUUGCCUCAACUCCUAAUAUGUGGGAUAGUAACCUCAAUUCUAAAGCUACAGCACGACCCAUUAAAAUUUAGACAUAAAAAGUGAUGAAAACCAUGCAAAAAUGGAAACUUUGAUGAAGAAAGAAGAAAAGAGAAUGAAAGAGGGAAGACCCACCAGCAGGAAGCUGAAAAGAAGAUGAUUUGUUGGCCCUCCUGGAGUGAGAACGAGCUGAUGCUGCAGAAAUCUUUCUGUUAACUCCCGUGGCCAUUGUAGAACAGAAUAAUAUUAAUUCAAUGGUGGUUUAGAUGUUGGAUGAGUUACUUGUGAGAUGGAACUCUCCAUUUCUAACUAGGUUCCAAGUGUACAAAUAUACACCAUAUUUAUUUAUAAUCUUUUUAAUAUAAUAGCACUUUUAAAUGAAUUCCACAAGUAAUUAUACAUCAUUUAAAUAGAUCCCACCAUAUAUAGAUAUCAUCAAUAUUUACUUAAAAAAUACUGUAGUAAUUAUUAAGUACUCAAUUGUGUUUCGCUUCAAGAAAUACUUGUUAAGUAAUAAUGCUUAACAAAGAAAUAGAUACCCACCCUUGGAAAUAUUCUUACUGACUUUUUAAUACUACAUUUAACAACAAAAAAAAAACAAAUUGAUGAAAUUUUAAGUCAUAAUUUAAUCGUUUGAAUUAAACCGGGUGACAAAUAAAUAAAAAUUUUAAAAAAUGAAAACCAGUUGAACUGGUUAAUUCCGGUUCAGUUAGACCCAAUGUAACCACAAUCAAACCAUUUGGUGAACCAGCCGAUUACAUGUUCAACCGAGCAAUUUGGUAUGAUCAAUUCCCCUUCCUCAAUUGGAAGAAAGCCUCCACUUAAAUAUCUACUCCAAGUAUUAUUAUUAAAUUCCACUUAAAUAUUCUUUCUUUCUUUCAAUAACCUGCAUUUUUCUUCAAUCUCUAGAUAUCAAAAAGUUUAAAGCACCCACAACCUAGAAAAAUAAAAAGCUCAAAAAGAGUGAAAUCAAACCGUAUUCAGGGCCUCUUUGGAUUAAGUUAUGUUUGAGGUUAGGAAAAAUAGCUUAUGCAAAUAAAUAAGUUUUUAUGUUAAUUCAUAAGUUUUCGCUAGUAAAAUUUUUAUCUUCAUAAAAUACCUUAACAAACUUAUAAAUUAUACAUAAAAGUUUAUUUAUUUGUAUAAGUUGCAUAAACUCAAAAAUAAGUCGAUCCAAACGGGCCAUAGACAAAUUAUCCUCCACAAAAUGCAUUCAUGUAGUAGCUAUCAUCAAAUACAUCUUAUAAAUAACAAAACAUGCCAGCUUCUUUUAAAUUUUAAAACACAAGAACAAUGUGCAUAUGCAAUUAUCAAGUAACUAGAUCCAUCCUACAGUCAAAGUUGCUCAAAAUUCAGCAUAUGUAUUGUGUGUGAUCUUCAGUUUGAAUUCUCCGAAAUGCGGAUAAUAAAUGCUGAAGCUGACCCGAGAUAGCCGGCGACGGAUACAAAACACUACUUUACACCUAAAAGUGACUUAAUGAUAGCCUCACUCAUACCAUCCAAGUGAGGGAAGAUAUGGCCAGAACCUGGAAGUUCGUGAUAGUGAAUCCAUGGAAGGUUUUCUGCAAUGUAUUGUUGUAGUGUAACAGGAACCAACAAAUCAUCAUCACCUUGCCAAAGAUGAACAGAACCUUCAUUGUUUGGGAAUGGAUUUUGAAGAUCCAAUGGAGUAUAUUCCCAGCUUCCAAAUCCAAUAUUCAUGUCACGGUGGAUGCUUUCAUGUACACCUUGCUGUCUUACCUGCGCCUGUUGAAGCAAAAUAAAAAGUUAUGAAACUUAAGUGAGAAUUGAGAUAGUACGAAAUUGGUCUUAUCAGGCAGUUAUCCGUGGAUGCGAGGGAAAAUCAAUAAACACAAGAUACACUAUGAAGAUUGAUUCACUCAUUAUGCCGAGCUAACCAAGUCAAAGCAGCAUUGGUCUAACAAAAUCGUAGCCAUCCAAUCAACAUUGAACGGCUCAGAUUUUAAUACAGUUUCAAUUUUUUAAAAUAUAUAAAUUCUGACCCUCAAAUUUAAACCGUUCGAUCUUUGAUCAAACGAACAUGGUCUUGCUGACUGCAUGCAGUCAAAGGGUGCUGACUGCAUGCAGUCAAGGGGUGCCGACUGCACUCAAUCCAGAUCCAUAUAUAAAAUACAGAAAAAAAUUAUAACCUUAAUAUUUUCAUACCAAUCACUAAGACACAAACUAUAACCUUAAUAUUUAAAAUUCUUGACCAAUGAUUUUUAAGGAUUUUUUCACAAUAAUCCAUGGAAGAGGAAAGAAGGUAUUAUGAAGAAGUUAAUAUUUGCCUACAAAAGUUGCAUCAAAAAACUGAGAAAGAAAAAUGCAUUAACAAUCAUAGUUUACAUUUCCCUACUAUUUUGUGUAUUAUUAUUUAUCAUAUAAUAUUUGUAACUAAGACAAACUAUUGUGGUGAUUAAUUCCAAAAGUUUUUUUUUUUCUUUUUCUUUAAGUUAUGAAUGGACCUUAAGGCUUUGUUUGGAUUGGUGGUAUGAGAUGGAAUGGAGUGGUAUGUGGUGGUAUGAAGUGAAGUUCCAUUGUUUGGAUUCUUUAAAAAUGAAUGGAAUGGAGUGGUANNNNNNNNNNNNNNNNNNNNNNNNNNNNNNNNNNNNNNNNCCAAUUUGGGGUGUAUGGGAUGGAAUACAAAAUGUCCAAACAAUGGAAUACAUUUUAUGCUCCAUUCCAUCCCGCUCCGCUCCAUUCCAUCUUAUUCCAUUCCGCUCCAUUUCGUUAUGUACCAUCAAUCCAAACAUAGCCUAAGGCUAUGUUUGGAUUGAUGGAAUAAAAUGGAAUGGAAUGGAAAGGGAUGGAAUAGAAUAAUGUUCCAUUGUUUGGAUUUGUAAAAUAAUAAUGGAAUCGAAUGGAAUAGGAUGGAAUAAAUUUAUCCCAUACCACCACUUACCUUCAAUUUUGUUCCUCUCCUUUUUAAAAUAUCCAAACAAUGGAAUGGAAGAUUUAUUUCAUUCUGCUCCAUCUCAUUCCACUCCACUCUAUUCCGCUCCACUCCAUUCCAUUAUAAACAACAAUACAUAACAUGAUUACAAAUAAAACUCUCAAUACAUAACAAAUUAAGAAUAACAAGGAUAAACAACUAAAUUAAGAUCCUAUAGCAUAAACACUUAUCAUAUGAGUGCUUAUGUAUAAGCUAUUUAUAUAACAAAAGAUCAAAUAAAGUCAAAUUGUUUUCAAAUAGGUCAUUCGUUGUUUUCAAUUUUCAUAAACUAUUCUGGAGAGCUUAUGAACGUGUCAUAAGUUGUUUUCAUAAGUUCUCAAAAAUAGUCUCACAAGUGCUUAAUUCAGUAGACAAGCUCAAAUAAGUCAAUACAAAAACGUCCUAAGUAGUGAAAGUUGUUCAUGAAUGACUUCAAAAAUGGAAGACAUCCAUUUGUAAACAGUUUAAAAAACUAAAAACACAAACUGAUUGUGUGCAGUCAAUGUGAGUUCUUAUAAUCACCAACAAAAUUUUAAAUCAACUUUUAUCAAUUUAACAAAUACAAACUAUCAGCUAAAUAACUCUAUGCAUUGCAUCCAGAAUAGAAAGAAAAGAAGGAAAAAAAAUCAAAUUUUGUAAUAACCUAAAAGCAUGAUACUUACCGCAUAAUUCUCUUUAUGAUUCAACAACUUAGAUAACAGCUCUUUGUCUUGUUUUGAAAAAUUAUCUGGACUACGAGCAAUUACGCUACAAAUAGGGAACCAUCUCUGCGUGUUCCACCAGUACGUUAGCCAUGGCGUGUAGUGAGCAACACGAAGUGCCCAUUGGUCUUCUAAUUUUAUUUUGGAAUAGACUUCUGCAGUUAAGUUUGCAGGAAGAUCAGGCCACCAGUAGUUGACGACUGGGGCUAAGAGCGCUACACCUGCCAACCUGUCAAUUUUGAGAGAAAUAAAAAGGUAUACACAAACCAAGAAAGAAAUAGUAGUGAUAUAAUUGAGUGUCAACACUCAACAGAACAAAACUAUAAAUAAACUGAAUAGGCCUGUUUGGACAAAACUAAUAAUAAGUGCUUAUAUAUAAGCUAUUACUAUAACAAAAGAUAAAAUAAAGUCAAACUGUUUUCAUAAGCUAUCCUAGAGUGCUUAUGGACAUGUCAUAAACUGUUUGCAUAAGCUCUCUCAAACAGUGUCACAAAUAAGUCAAUUAAAACAUGACUUCAAUCAUACCUGUGAGGAAUAUACUUAAGGCAAUUCCAAGCAAUUUGUCCACCCAUGGAAAAACCAAUCACGUAGAAUUUGGAUCCCAAUCCCAGCUGAUCAGCAAGCUCCUCGAUAUCCAAAGCAAUGCUCUUUAACGUACGAUUUGGAUCAGGAUCACUUUCUCCAUAGCCAGGUCUGUCGAAAGAUACAACGUAGAUCCCCAAUUCCUUAACAAUAUCCUGAAAAACCUCGCAUUAUAUAUAAUUAUACAAAUCACAAAGAAAUCUGAGAAUGCUAUAAUAGACAGAAGAAAAAAGAAAUAUAGAAAAUUACAGGUGAUAGAGUGUCGGCAACCACAGUGUCAUGUCUGCAACUGUUGAUACCAUGGAUAAAGAUGAUUUUAUACUUUGCUUCGUCUUUUGGAACACAAUGCUCUUUGUAUGCCAAAUGUCUUCCAUCUCUUAGUUUGAUUCUUGGAGCCGUUAUAGGUGGUCCAUCUGGAGAGCCACAUAUCUUGGGAGGAGGAGGUUGAGCAGCUUGAUAAGCCCAUGCUAGAAAUCCAAUAAACAACACUGCCAGUGUUGUUCUAAGUAUUCCUG